ensembl:lncRNA
CUUUUACUCAGGGUUCUAUUAGUCCGCUAAAUUACGCAUCAGUUUUGCAUUGCCAGAGGUUACCAAUACCAGUGCAUAAUAGGUAUUCAAAGGAAAAGUGAGGAGCAAAUGAAGAAAGCUAAGUAAACUUUACAUAGUUGAUUUCAGCUCAUUGGCUGGUCCAAACUUGGAUGAUCAGAUGAAAGUCCAGCUGAUAGAUAGAUCUCAUUUCAACCUGGAAAAUAACAAAAAAGGCAGUUAGAGGUGGCAGAACACCUUGGAAAACUUACAAAACUGCUACAAAAAGUGCGUGCUUGGCAGGGUCAGGAGGUUGAGGCAGUCCAGGUGUGGGUUCAGCGAUCCAUGUGCUCCUGUGAGAGUUCAUGCUCAGUCUUUCAGAGGCUACCAGGGCUAAAACACCACUCCAGCCUUUGCUGUUUGUUGACUGUUUACA